UCUUGAUGCAGUGGAAAGUGAUCAUAGACUUACAUAACAUUCUAUAUCGCAAAACAUUACCAUAAUCAAUAAUGCCAAUACAAUGUUAGCAUCUUGUUUUUAUUUUGACUUGUGCAAUGUUCUACGAAUCUCUCAUAAACACAACGAUUAACUAUUGCAAAACGAUUCUCUAGCCUAUUGAGAGAUUGGCUAUAUGACAGGCCUAUGGCGUCGUGUUCUGGGCGUAGGUGUUCAUAUUAGAGCCCAUGCACCUUCCUUUACGCAUUGUGUUGACAUGUUCGAUCCGGCAUUGUAGUUUUGUCUAGACAAUCCUGUUUACAAUGCGCUGUGGUCCGUUAUCAAAUGCACCAGUGCGUUUAUAGAAAAUCAAAACAACUACAAGGCACCGAGAAAAUAUAAUUCACAAGUUUGAACAAACAAAGAGAGGUAUGUAGCUCGGGGACGGAGGAGGCUGGGACUUGUGAUCUGAUGUCAGCGCAGAGCUCGAGAUCAUUGAAGAGCGCUGAUGAAAAAUGGAAGAGUUACCACUGUUGGCCACAUUGGCUAACAAGAAAAAUCCAACCUUCAGCAGAUGUCGAGGGAAAUAGCCUUCCAUUCGAAAUCAAAUGCACUGUGCAGGGGGAUUAUUUGAGGAUGUCCACUUCCACUGGGGGCUGCAGUGAGACAAAGCUACUGGGAUCUCCUAUAGGACCUACGGUCUUCUGACAGACACCUGCUACAGUACAAGGGAGAACCAUGGCACCACGGUCCUCGGCUCUACCUCUAUUCAUCUGCAGUGGAACAUGAUGCCCAGUAAUACUGCAUGACUAUUCUAAUCAUAUUGAAAAUAGUUUGUUUCAGUUCAAGUUUCAUUCUACUGUACCAGUGUUCAUUAUAUGCAGUUGCUAAAACGUAUAUGGUUUGUCUUGACAUGAUGCAAGCAAUGAUUAUUACAUUGUUAUUCACAAAGAUGAUUAUUGUCUCAAUAAAUAAAGAUGUCCAUA
rnacentral:lncRNA from 1 species